AUUGAACGCUAGCGGGAUGCUUUACACAUGCAAGUCGAACGAGUGGCGGACGGGUGAGUAAUAUAUCGGAAAGUGCCCAGGAGCGGGGGAUAAAUACUCGAAAGAGUGGCUAAUACCGCAUAAUAGUGGAGCGGCCGAUAUGGGGUUAGGUAGUUGGUGGGGUAAAGGCUCAACAAGGCAACGAUCCGUAGCUGGUUUGAGAGGAAGACCAGCCACACUGGGACUGAGACACGGCCCAGACUCCUACGGGAGGCAGCAGUGGGGAAUUUUGGACAAUGGGCGCAACCCUGAUCCAGCCAUCCCGCGUGUAUGAGAAGGCCUUCGGGUUGUAAAGUACUUUUGUCAGAGAAGCGGUAUCUGCAGAAUAAGCACCGGCUAACUACGUGCCAGCAGCCGCGGUAAUUC
rnacentral:rRNA from 1 species